rnacentral:rRNA from 1 species
GACGAACGCUGGCGGCGCGCCUAACACAUGCAAGUCGAACGGGGUCAAGAGGAGCUUGCUUUUCUUGACUUAGUGGCGAACGGGUGAGUAACGCGUGAGUAACCUGCCCUGGAGUGGGGGACAACAGUUGGAAACGACUGCUAAUACCGCAUAAGCCCACGGAUCCGCAUGGAUCUGCGGGAAAAGGAUUUAUUCGCUUCAGGAUGGACUCGCGUCCAAUUAGCUAGUUGGUGAGGUAACGGCCCACCAAGGCGACGAUUGGUAGCCGGACUGAGAGGUUGAACGGCCACAGUGGGACUGAGACACGGCCCAGACUCCUACGGGAGGCAGCAGUGGGGGAUAUUGCACAAUGGGGGAAACCCUGAUGCAGCGACGCCGCGUGGAGGAAGAAGGUUUUCGGAUUGUAAACUCCUGUCGUUAGGGACGAUAAUGACGGUACCUAACAAGAAAGCACCGGCUAACUACGUG